rnacentral:rRNA from 1 species
AGAGUGAACGCUGGCGGUAGGCCUAACACAUGCAAGUCGAACGGCAGCACGGUAAGAGCUUGCUCUUAUGGGUGGCGAGUGGCGGACGGGUGAGGAAUACAUCGGAAUCUACCUUUUGGUGGGGGAUAACGUAGGGAAACUUACGGCUAAUACCGCAUACGCCCUUCGGGGGAAAGCCGGGGACCAGCAAUGGCCUGGCGCUGAUAGAUGAGCCGAUGUCGGAUUAGCUAGUUGGUGAGGUAAUGGCUCACCAAGGCGACGAUCCGUAGCUGGUCUGAGAGGAUGAUCAGCCACACUGGAACUGAGACACGGUCCAGACUCCGUACGGGAGCAGCAGGUGGGGAAUA